GUGAAAACUGUGUCUCUGGAGGGCUGAGAGACCUGUAACUACCUUGAACAGAGCAUCUGCUAGCCGGGACUAGGAGAGUGGGAGGGAGCUCCUGGCUGGCUGCUGGGACCGAGCAGCUGAGGGCACUAAGACUGCAUAAAAACUGUAACCACAGACAAGCGGCGCAGUCCAUCCUAGUGGCUGUGUGUGCGUGGUUCAGGUCUUUGAGGCAUCCGUGCAUCAUCGGAGAAUACCACCCUUUCCUGAAGUGAAGAGAAGGAAGAAGUAUUCCACCUUACCUGCUCCUAUUCCUGAAGACACCAGCACCAGAGGGUUCUCGGUCUGCUUCUUCCAUCCCCGAUCGACAUCGAGGGACUCUAGUGUUCCUCCUCCACGGCUUCCAAUUACCCAAAGAGUGUAGGUCCUGGACGUCACUUCUGCCACAGACAUGCUAGGAUAUAGUGAGAUCCAAAAGUUAGUGACUCGCUGUGAUGUUUCCUGGGGUAUCCAGGUUGUGAGGCACCUCACUACCACCUGCCCUUCGCCUGAGCAGUCCUGGUCUGUGCCUCCCAUGGGUCAGCUCCCCAACGCCACCGGCCAUGGACAACACAAGCACUGCCCUGCUGUGACUCUACAGGUACUGACCAGCUGCUUCAGGCCUUGGGAGAGAACACGACAAACCAUCACAGCUUUGUGCAUGACAAACUGGAGGACUACCAACAAAAGGUCGACACGGCAACCCGAGAUCUCUUAUAUCGCCGAAACUAGCAGUCUGCGUGGCCUGAUGGGGCUGGAGUCCCAGCACCCGGGAGAGCCUGCAAUGUUCUCAAAUCAUUGACAAGCAGCUUGAUAGUGUUAUUAAAAUUCAUUCCAUGGUCUUCUUACUACAUUCUGCUGCACACCGGCAGCAACUACACCAGGACACUGUCAUCAUCAGGAGGGCGCCCUCUGCUCAUUGGGAAGGAAACUGCAGCCCUCUGCUUAUUGGGAAGGAUGCUCUGUACACUGCAACCCAGGCAGGCUGGAGUUGGAUAAUUUCAUCUGGCUCUUACCAGCCCAGAUUUGAGCCAACAGGUUAGUGAAAGGGAGAGCCCAGAGCCAGCGGGAGGAGGGCAUUCGCCUGGCCUGAGCUCAGCGCGGCAGGGAGCAAAGAAAGUAGAUUUAAAAACAAAAAUCCACUAGCCAGACCCCUUCCGCCUGCUUCCAGGGUUUCAUUUCUGAAAACAGCUGAGUAGCUAACCCCAGGCCAAGCCAGGGGAAGGAGUAAAGGGGAACUGAAAUCAAGCUAGCUCCACCUUUGAUCCUGGAGUCAGGGCUUCGUUCCUGGAGGCACAGUGUCCCCUGCCCCAUUGGGGCACGUGGCCCUGUCUCAUCCCACCCCACCUUCCAUCCGUGCGGCUCUCCUCGCUGGCUAACCUGCCUCCCCCAGCCAGCCUGCUGCAUUAGCUGGGCUUUCCCUGCAUGACAGGGUGUGCUACCUACUACGGAGCAGAGAAAAAAAAAACAUUUGGGUAAAAACAAGCCCUGGCUAAUGUGCUGCUCUUUCCGAAGUGCGCCUGGCUUUAGCAAAGUAUUUAAUUAGCCUCCAUGAACUUCUUUUCC